UUCUUAUCUGCCAUUUUAUAUCUCGUCUCUAUAGUGACUUCUGGUGCUUGAAAAGAUUCAAGUAUGGUAUAAACCUCUCUUGAAUGAAUCUCAACAAUCUUAUCAUUAUCUCCUAACCCAAUAGAUAUAAUCAAUUCCAAUGAAUCUUCCAGUCCAUUUUCUUCAUAAACACCUAAAAUCCUCUCAUCAUCUUGCAAUGUACCUAACUUGCAUAAUUCUCCUUCAAUAUUAUAUAAUCUUCUUUUUUCUUUUCUUUUAAAAUCAUCAACUUUCUUAUACAUAAUAUUUCCAUUCUCCAAAAUACCAAUAAAACUCGCAUCAAAGGCACCUUCAUCUCGCGAGAGUACCUCCUCUUUUGUACCUCCAUAAUCUCGCUUUAUAGUGGUACCUCCCCAAAAUCCUUAAAUCCUUCAACAAUCUUUGGCAAUGGUUUCUCCCUCAACCUAUCUCAAUUCCGUUCAUAGUUAGGA
rnacentral:lncRNA from 1 species